CGGAGCUCCAAAACAGGGGAAAGAACGUGGACUUGCUCGGUUUUCCCGCUUUCUACUACUCCUGUUUCUGCUCGAGGGAGCCCCCUUAAGACCGCGCUUCGGUGGUGGAGAGAUCGUCCUCAUAGUCAUCUCGUGCUCGUCUCAGUAUGCUGGAUUAGAAAAGGUAAUUUCGUUUGAAACCUUAAUUCAUUCUAGUCUUGGUUUGGCAGUCUGAAGUGUACCAUCAUUUCUUUUUCUUCUGCGUUUUUUUUUAUAUAUUUCUCUUCGUUUUAGGUUCGUUAUUGGCGUUCAAUAGUCGGUCGUUUUGAUUCGUGUUGAUAUAUGUUCCUAUUGCUAAGGCGUGAUACAUGUCUGUGAUACAUGUCUUUGUUAUGAUAGUUAUGCUUAAAAUCUUUUUGAUUUAGAGUGUGUUCUUUCUUUAAUUCGAGUUUCAAAGUGUGCGCCCUUGCUGCUUAUUUUGCUUUUGUCCAGUGAAUAGUUGCUAAGGAAUAUUAAACAGUAUUGAUUUGUCGUCAGUUCGACUCUCAUGUUUGUAUUUUGAUAUCUCAAUGCCUAAAGGCUAAAUCGUUUUUAAAUCAUUUUGUAAGUUUGUAUAGAUUUAGUUUGGUUAAAAUUGUUCUUCAACCUAGACCUGAGCCUUGUUGUUGUCUGUUUCAUCUUUGUUUCGUCCAAUUUCUAGUCGAAAAUUGCUUAUCAUUUAUAGUGGUCUCCUGAAGAAUGCGAAAUGAUUUUAAGAAUGUAUGCUUAUUUCUCGAUCCUGCUUCAUUCUUGUGUUAUGUCUUUGUUUAACCGUGCUCUUCUCUUUGCAUUCUAUAUUUUUCCGUGGAUACUUAUGUUUACGUGCAGCAUAUUAGCUUAAGAAAUAGGUCGCGUGGCUUUGAUUAUUCACAUUUAUACUUCACUUUGUUUUAAAAUGACUUAACAAAGUCCUUGCCAGUUUGUUUCUUUUGCUUAAAGGAGCAUGUUUACUACAGCCUUCAACAUUUUCUUUUGACGAUGAAUUAACAUCAUUAGAUUUCAUUAAAUAGAGCUGGUUAUGCUAAAGCAUAUGGUGUUUUAUUGGCUGAUUCUACAACAUGUUUCUCUCUCGAUAUUUUGGGUUUGUUGUCAGUAAAUGGCUAUGCUUCCCCGGAAGAUUAUGUGUUAACAAGUACAUAUACACGUGUCAUCAUUUAGUACCGUAUUUGCCCAUUACUUUUGUCACUUUAAAUUGAUUCAUUUAGUUUUCCGUUAGAGUUGGAUAUUUUGGUUCAAUUGGAAAUUCCUUAUUUGUUUUAUAGUUUCGUAUAUUGACCCUUGUGAUCAUCUUUAUUACAUGUAAAAAUCUGCCCGAGUCCUCACGGACUUCAUCCUAUUUUCCACAUUUUGGGAGCCGUUAAGGCUCAAAAACUCCUUUCCAUCGAGUCAAGGCAAACAUGCGAGAGUCAAAUGCCAUGAAGAUUGAAGAACUUGAAGAAGCGGAUUAGAAGACUCCUUGAUUUUCUCUAUAUAUUGUAUUUAUAUUUGUAAUGGGCAUAAGCCCUUGUUUGUCUUUACUUUCCUAUUUAUCCUCGUAUGUUUAAACUAGGACAGGUUAAAAAUGGGUUAAAAACCCAAAAAGCAGGUGGGUCUAAAA
rnacentral:misc_RNA from 1 species